CCUGGGAAGCAGAGUGGCACUAGAGCUGCUACCUCCCCCUAAGUGACAGCACCUGCUGCGAGCAGACCCCCAUCACAAAAGGCCUGGCGGAGGGCUGGGCCAGCUGUCUGCCUGGGUCCCCAAGGCAGUCCCCAAGGCAGGCAGGCAAGUUCUCAGGACACGGUAGGGUCCAGUAGAGGGGGACUGAAGCAUUAGGAUGUGGACUGGGCAGCUUGUGUCCCCUGGCCCGGGUGGGCGCUAGGUGACCAUCCCAACAGUGUUGAUCAGCUGUCAAAGCCAUGUCUCCAAGGCCCUUGGUGCCCAUGGGCAUCAGGGGUGGAGUGAAGAGCAGUGGGCCUGGGAUGUUCCUGGGUACUUCUCUGGGCAGCUCCUGGGCAUUGAGGGGGACUAAGGCUCCCGGAGGGUGAGCACUUGGCUCAAAGCUCCCAGCCCCACCUUCUUCAGCCUUGCUGCUCCCACAUUGUCUGCAGUGGAGGAGCAAAUGUCACCUCUCUGCCCUGGGCUGCACUGACACCCCUGAGGGGGGCCCAAGCCCAGCCAGCAGGUCAGUGAGGACCAGGACAGGCACCGGUGGCAGAGAUCAGGUAGUAAAAACUGUGCUAACAGUAGCAGGGACUCCAAUUGCAUGUGCAUGUGAGGAUGGAAUGCGGCCUCGAAUGCGCCAUAGUGUAUCUAUACCGAGCGCCAACUGCAGGACCUAGAAUUGGACAGUAUCCUGGACCACCAAGAAUAUGCAGCUCAGCUGGGACCCAGAACCUCCCCACCAUGCCAAGAUGGGUGUCUUGGGGAAGGAUCAGGUUUUUGAAGGCCCAACUCCCAAUGCAGGAGGUCCCCAGGGGCACUGGAGGAUGUGCAUCAGAACACCGUGAGGGCAAAGGCCUGGGGGUGGGACCUAGGAACUCAGGAAGCACUGUGGUGGGCCAGUAGGAGGCUACAGGCCCUCAAUGACUGCCCCCAGGGCCAGCUGGCAGCAUCAAAGCCCUGGAGCUUCCUUAGCAGUCUCUCCACGGAGGGAGGAAAUGGAGCCCUACCAGAGCAAAACAAACCCAGUCUCUGUCCCAGACCAGCGGUGGCCAGCAGGACACUGGGACAGCCCUGGGACCUCAGGCUCCGAUGCCAUCCCAAUGCUGGAGAACCUGAGAAGCCCCACAGUUCACCUAUGUGGAGGGACCCUGGUGAAGGCAAGGCUGGGAGCAGUGGUGCUGGGCACAUCUGAUUAUGGAAGAGGUCAACGAAACACAAGAGAGAGGCCUGGGGAGCCCAGCACCCAUCUCCCAGCAGCAUAAGGGCCCACCUCCUUUCAUCGUACCAACUCUGCUCUUCCCCUGCAUCCAUCCACCUGAGUUAUCUGUAAAAGUUGUUUGUGGUGCUGGGGAUUGAACUCUGCCACUAAGCCACACUCCCAGCCCUUUUUAUUUUACUUUGAAAUGAUGGAAGAGGGCUUUGGAUUCAA